UGCAGUCGAACGGCAGCACGGGAGCAAUCCUGGUGGCGAGUGGCGAACGGGUGAGUAAUAUAUCGGAACGUGCCCAGUCGUGGGGGAUAACGCAGCGAAAGCUGUGCUAAUACCGCAUACGAUCUCUGGAUGAAAGCGGGGGACUCGUAAGAGCCUCGCGCGAUUGGAGCGGCCGAUAUCAGAUUAGCUAGUUGGUGGGGUAAAGGCCCACCAAGGCGACGAUCUGUAGCUGGUCUGAGAGGACGACCAGCCACACUGGAACUGAGACACGGUCCAGACUCCUACGGGAGGCAGCAGUGGGGAAUUUUGGACAAUGGGCGCAAGCCUGAUCCAGCAAUGCCGCGUGCAGGAUGAAGGCCUUCGGGUUGUAAACUGCUUUUGUACGGAACGAAAAGGUUUGCCUUAAUACGGUGGGCCCAUGACGGUACCGUAAGAAUAAGCACCGGCUAACUACGUGCCAGCAGCCGCGGUAAUACGUAGGGUGCGAGCGUUAAUCGGAAUUACUGGGCGUAAAGCGUGCGCAGGCGGUUAUAUAAGACAGAUGUGAAAUCCCCGGGCUCAACCUGGGACCUGCAUUUGUGACUGUAUAGCUAGAGUACGGUAGAAGGGGGAUGGAAUUCCGCGUGUAGCAGUGAAAUGCGUAGAUAUGCGGAGGAACACCGAUGGCGAAGGGCAUCCCCUGGACCUGUACUGACGCUCAUGCA
rnacentral:rRNA from 1 species